rfam:Schistosoma mattheei strain Denwood, Zambia genome assembly, scaffold: SMTD_scaffold0000227
ACACAGCUGAAGAGCCCCAAAUAGAACGAAAUGUGCGUCCUGGAU